rnacentral:rRNA from 1 species
UACGUAGGGUGCAAGCGUUAAUCGGAAUUACUGGGCGUAAAGCGUGCGCAGGCGGUUAUGCAAGACAGAUGUGAAAGCCCCGAGCUUAACUUGGGAAUUGCGCUUGUGACUGGCGUGCUGGAGUGUGGCAGAGGGAGGUGGAAUUCCACGUGUAGCAGUGAAAUGCGUAGAGAUGUGGAGGAACACCGAUGGCGAAGGCAGCCUCCUGGGCCAGCACUGACGCUCAUGCACGAAAGCGUGGGGAGCAAACAGG